rnacentral:rRNA from 1 species
AUGGAAGGCAGCAGUGGGGGAUAUUGGACAAUGGGGGAAACCCUGAUCCAGCGACGCCGCGUGAGUGAAGAAGUAUUUCGGUAUGUAAAGCUCUAUCAGCAGGGAAGAAAAAAUCAAAAUUGACAGUACCUGACUAAGAAGCCCCGGCUAACUACGUGCCAGCAGCCGCGGUAAUACGUAUGGAGCAAGCGUUAUCCGGAUUUACUGGGUGUAAAGGGAGCGUAGACGGCAAAGCAAGUCUGAAGUGAAAUCCCGGGGCUCAACCCCGGAACUGCUUUGGAAACUGUUUAGCUAGAGUGCAGGAGAGGUAAGCGGAAUUCCUAGUGUAGCGGUGAAAUGCGUAGAUAUUAGGAGGAACACCAGUGGCGAAGGCGGCUUACUGGACUGUAACUGACGUUGAGGCUCGAAAGCGUGGGGAGCAAACAGGAUUAGAUACCCUGGUA